rnacentral:rRNA from 1 species
UACUGGGCUCAGGGAUGAACGCUGGCGGCGUGCCUAACACAUGCAAGUCGAGCGAUUCUCUUCGGAGAAGAGCGGCGGACGGGUGAGUAACGCGUGGGUAACCUGCCUCAUACACAUGGAUAACAUACCGAAAGGUAUGCUAAUACAGGAUAAUAUAAGAGAUUCACAUGGAUUUCUUAUCAAAGCUCCGGCGGUAUGAGAUGGACCCGCGUCUGAUUAGCUAGUUGGUAAGGUAACGGCUUACCAAGGCGACGAUCAGUAGCCGACCUGAGAGGGUGAUCGGCCACAUUGGAACUGAGACACGGUCCAAACUCCUACGGGAGGCAGCAGUGGGGAAUAUUGCACAAUGGGCGAAAGCCUGAUGCCAGCAACGCCGCGUGAGUGAUGAAGGCCUUCGGGUCGUAAAACUCUGUCCUCAAGGAAGAUAAUGACGGUACUUGAGGAGGAAGCCCCGGCUAACUACGUGCCAGCAGCCGC